CAGUAGCCACGGUAAUACGUAGGUGGCAAGCGUUGUCCGGAAUUAUUGGGCGUAAAGGGCUCGCAGGCGGUUUCUUAAGUCUGAUGUGAAAGCCCCCGGCUCAACCGGGGAGGGUCAUUGGAAACUGGGAAACUUGAAUGCAGAAGAGGAGAGUGGAAUUCCACGUGUAGCGGUGAAAUGCGUAGAGAUGUGGAGGAGCACCAGUGGCGAAGGCGACUCUCUGGUCUGUAACUGACGCUGAGGAGCGAAAGCGUGGGGAGCGAACAGGAUUAGAUACCCCGGUAGUCCCUGUCUCUUAUAC
rnacentral:rRNA from 1 species